rnacentral:rRNA from 1 species
AUUGAACGCUGGCGGCAGGCCUAACACAUGCAAGUCGAACGGUAACAGGAAGCAGCUUGCUGCUUCGCUGACGAGUGGCGGACGGGUGAGUAAUGUCUGGGAAGCUGCCUGAUGGAGGGGGAUAACUACUGGAAACGGUAGCUAAUACCGCAUAAUGUCGCAAGACCAAAGAGGGGGACCUUCGGGCCUCUUGCCAUCGGAUGUGCCCAGAUGGGAUUAGCUUGUUGGUGGGGUAACGGCUCACCAAGGCGACGAUCCCUAGCUGGUCUGAGAGGAUGACCAGCCACACUGGAACUGAGACACGGUCCAGGCUCCUACGGGAGGCAGCAGUGGGGAAUAUUGCACAAUGGGCGCAAGCCUGAUGCAGCCAUGCCGCGUGUAUGAAGAAGGCCUUCGGGUUGUAAAGUACUUUCAGCGGGGAGGAAGGGAGUAAAGUUAAUACCUUUGCUCAUUGACGUUACCCGCAGAAGAAGCACCGGCUAACUCCGUG